GACGGAGGAUGCAAGUGUUAUCCGGAAUCACUGGGCGUAAAGCGUCUGUAGGUGGUUCGAAAAGUCCACUGUUAAAAAUUGAGGCUUAACCUCAAAGAUGCCGUGGAAACUUUCAAACUAGAGUAUGGUAGGGGUAGAGGGAAUUUCCAGUGGAGCGGUGAAAUGCGUAGAGAUCGGGAAGAACAUCGGUGGCGAAAGCGCUCUACUGGACCGCAACUGACACUCAGGGACGAAAGCUAGGGGAGCGAAUGGG
rnacentral:rRNA from 1 species